CCUACGGGGGACAGCAGUGGGGGAUAUUGCACAAUGGGGGGAACCCUGAUGCAGCGACGCCGCGUGAGUGAAGGAGUGUUUCGGUAUGUAAAGCUCUAUCAGCAGGGAAGAAAAUGACGGUACCUGACUAAGAAGCCCCGGCUAACUACGUGCCAGCAGCCGCGGUAAUACGUAGGGGGCAAGCGUUAUCCGGAUUUACUGGGUGUAAAGGGAGCGUAGACGGCAGCGCAAGUCUGAAGUGAAAUCCCAGGGCUUAACCAUGGAACUGCUUUUGAAACUGUGCAGCUGGAGUGCAGGAGGGGUAAGCGGAAUUCCUAGUGUAGCGGUGAAAUGCGUAGAUAUUAGGAGGAACACCAGUGGCGAAGGCGGCCUACUGGACUGUAACUGACGUUGAGGCUCGAAGGCGUGGGGAGCAAACAGGAUUAGAUACCCCGGUAGUC
rnacentral:rRNA from 1 species